rnacentral:lncRNA from 1 species
UAGGAUUCAAAAUCCACUCACACCUAGUAAAUACUAAACUUUAAUCCAAACCUCAACUCCAAAAUAAUAAACCCUAAACUUUAAACAUCACCCUUCCAUCUAAAUACUAAACCCUAAACCCUAAUUACUGAACCCUAAACCCAAAUAUAAACCUUAAACCCAAUUAUCAAAAUCUGAAAAUAGUGUAUAAUAUUAUAUAAUAUUAAACUAAAUCCAAACAAAACUCCUCAAUGCUAAACUCAAACCUAACUUUUGAAUACUAAACCCAAAAAUGCUAUCACUAAACCCAAAUCUAAACUCCCACCUUCCAAAUACUAAACCCUAAAUCCUAAUCACUAAACCCUAAACCCAAGUAUAGACUAUAAACCCAAAUAGAAUGGAACAAAAUACAUAGUAUAGUAUAAAUUGGUAAGCAAAAAAAACACUUUUUUUAAUCGUCAAAUAGAACAUACAUAAUACGGUCACUAAACCCAAACAUCAACCCCCACCUUCCAAAUACUAAACCCUAAAUCUUAAUCAUUAAACCUAAACCCAAGUAUAAACUCUAAACUCAAAUAGUAUAGAACAAAAUAAAUAGUAUAGCACAUAUAGUUGUAAACAAGAAAUUGAUAAAUAAUGAAUUUAUCAAACAAUCGAUGGUACAAUAAUACAACAACCGUAGCAUACUAUUUAGUUUGGUACUUGCGAAUUGUACAAAAAUAUAAGAAUCGUACUAUACUAUAAUUUUCUUUCACUACAUAUAGUAUAGUCGACGAGUUCAUCUUCUUCACAUCUUCCUCUUUUUACAGACUUGGUGAUACACACAUUCACUAGUCCAGAGUAAUUAUUCUUCAUCAUACCAUAUCAAUACAUCAUACUAUAACAAUUUAAAUAACAAUAAAAAAAAUCAAGAUGAGCAACAUUGAAAAAAACUAAAAAAAAAAGAAAUUGUGAUGUCACCUCGUUGUUGUCUACGGUGCAAUCUUCUCCUCCAAACUCAAUUCCACAAGCCCAAAAUCCAUAUUAUUUCUUAAUCUAGUGGUUUGUGUUCGUAUGUAUAAAAAAACAGAGAUUGGAGGAGAAGAGGAAGAAGAAGAGAAAGAGAUGUGGAAGAAUGAUAACCACAAUUUAUUAAAUUAUUUAUUUAAUAUUUCUUUUGAUAAAUAACUCUCAGCAGGUCACACAGGUUGAAUUGAAGGGUAAUAUAGUGUUAUUACAUAAAAUACAUGUACUGUAGAUGAAAGUUAGGGGUUUUAGUUAUGUAAUGAAUUAUAAUUUGUUUGAAGGUUAUACAGCCAAAUUUCUCUUAAAAAAAAGCCAAUCAG